UACGUAGGGGGCUAGCGUUGUCCGGAAUCAUUGGGCGUAAAGAGCGCGUAGGCGGCCAGAUAAGUCCGGUGUGAAAGUCACAGGCUCAACCUGUGAAUGCCGCUGGAAACUGUCUGGCUAGAGUCCGGAAGGGGCGAGUGGAAUUCCUGGUGUAGCGGUGAAAUGCGCAGAUAUCAGGAGGAACACCGGUGGCGAAGGCGGGUCUCUGGGCCGAUACUGACGCUGAGGAGCGAAAGCAUGGGUAGCGAACAGG
rnacentral:rRNA from 1 species